AAAUAUGAAUAACUCCGAUUUAGCUCUUCUAAAGCAUCAGCUAUGGGGGCUAAACGCAUGCAUUAAUGCUGUAGGGUAGAGGGGAAACCCGGAUACCUCCCAACCUUGGAAAGGAGUUGCUCACGUAAAAAA
rnacentral:ncRNA from 1 species